GAGGAAUCUGGUGCUCAUUUACAUUGCGAUUCACUGGCCACCGGGACCUGUCACACAGAGAUGACAGGACACUGGAGCCAGGAGCAACUGUAAACAGGAGAAUCUGAAAAUUGAGUAUCUUUCAUUCUUCACUUGGUAUGAACUUCUAUUUGCCAGCAAGGAAAAAGCUGCAGAGGAUGGAGGCUCCUGCUACGAUUGACAGUCUUUGGCCGUCAAUUAAAUAUGGACCAGCCUUUUCUGGCUAACAGAACGCAGAGGAUACAGUGAGAUGCCUGAGGACUUGAGUAAUUUACUCUCUCUCCUGGAAUGCUGCCACUGCCACGAUAUUAAUCCAAAGGCUGUUCUAAUGGAAGAUCGGAGAUGACAUGGAGAAGGUCCCUCAUGGAGAAGCAAGGGCUAUUUUAGAUCAGACAUGCUCCCAAACAGGUGAGAAAAUGCAGAUCACAUUAACAACCCACAGAUGACCAUAAACAUGAGUGUGCCUUGCUGAGAAAUGAACCACUCUGCUGACCCUUGU